rnacentral:misc_RNA from 1 species
GAUGAAGAACGUAGCGAAAUGCGAUAAGUAAUGUGAAUUGCAGAAUUCAGUGAAUCAUCGAAUCUUAGAACGCACAUUGCGCCCAUUAGUAUUCUAGUGGGCAUGCCUGUUCGAGCGUCAUUAAGUCCACUUAAGCCCUGCUUAGUGUUGGGAGACUGCUCCAGCGGUGCUACCCUGUAGCUACCCUGCAGCUCCUCAAAGACAGCGGCGGAGUUGUGGUAUCCUCUGAGCUUAGUAACUUGUUCUAGCUUUCGAGUACACCACUUCCCCUGCCGUAAAACCCUUAAUUUUUAAUGGUUGACCUCGGAUCAGGUAGGAAUACCCGCUGAACUUAAGCAUAUCAAUAAGCGGAGGA